rnacentral:tRNA from 1 species
AAGCCCCGGAGCCUUUUAGGGCUCCUCUUUAAACUUGCAUUUUAAUGUGUUAUGAACACCACGGGACU